AGAACGAACGCUGGCGGCGUGGCUAAGGCAUGCAAGUCGUACGGAACCACCUGAGUAGUAAUACAAGGGUGGUUUAGUGGCGGACGGGUGAGUAAUGCAUGGGUAACGUACCUUUAGCUCAGGGAUAGCGUCGGGCCCGCAAGGGUCCUUUGCGAAAGUGACGGUAAUACCUGAUUAAAUCCCGGGAUCGCAUGAUCCUGGUAUCAAAGAUGGGGAUCUUCGGACCUAUCGGCUUUUGAGCGGCCCAUGUCCUAUCAGCUAGUUGGUGAGGUAACGGCCCACCAAGGCUUUGACGGGUAGCCGGCGUGAGAGCGCGACCGCAC
rnacentral:rRNA from 1 species